GGAGAGGUGGCCGAGUGGCUGAAGGCGCACGACUCGAAAUCGUGUAAUGGCUAAUACCCAUUCGAGAGUUCGAAUCUCUCCCUCUCCGCCA
rnacentral:tRNA from 1 species